UAAGAUUGCAUGAAAAUGAUCAUACCACACACAAAUCAUCAGAUUUUCGAGUGUAAAUUAUAUGUUUAUCGACAUAUUGGCCUUUAAUAUGAAAUGUCAUAUUUGAUAUUAUUUAGCAUAGAAUAACGAAGAAGAAGCUUUUUUCCGGAGAUGUCUGAUAUAAACAUACUGUGUCCUAUCAUGUUUCAUGGAAACAAAGUGAAACAGCCGAUUUCAAGUUUGUCCGAUGUGUGCUCAUAUACGGUUUCACGAAAAAGCAUGAAAGAAAGGCGCUAGAGCGCUGAGACUGCGGCAAACGGCUUUUCAGCUCCUGAGAAACACUUUUGUACAUGCAUGCAGGGAUUCACUCAAAACGCAUGCUGAUACCUAAGAUUGCAUGAAAAUGAUCUUCGUGGCAAGUUAACUAUGGGCUUAGCGAUGGUUCAACACUACUCAAAGCUAAUUUUUUAUCUUUCUUAGUGUUGUCGGUAUUAUAGUUUUAUGUUAUUCCUGUUAGAGACACACUUAGCUGAAAUGAGCAGAGCGGUAUAUAUUAAUGCUAGUAUAAGUAGAUGUGAACUUCAAACUGUUUGUAAGGAGUGAUUGUGUUUAAACUCUCUAUAUUAGAAAAUAACGAACAUUUGUUUUACAUAUUGCAUGGCACAGCACAUGUAUUGCACAAUUAUUGCAUAAAGUAUUUGAGAAUUAUUCUUUUUUUGCUACCUUUUAUGACCAAUUCUUAGACCUAAUCACAAAUACUGAGGUGACAUGCAGACGUCUGCAACAGAAUUUCUGUACUUAUUUAUAUUUUGGGCAUGAAACCUUUUUACACUUUUUUUAAUCUGUGUACUCGUCACUACUGAAGUAACUCGUCACUUCUUUCAGAGCAUGCUGGUUAAGGGGAAACUUGGGGAUGCCCAAAAAUUUGUCAAGAUCUGAGCCUGGAGGAAUUUUUGUCUGCUGGUAAAAAGAUUUGUAUAUAUAAUUUUCAUUUUAUUAUUUUAGGAAUAUGCUUUUUUUGCUUUUUUUGAUGUUCAAAGUUCAUCAUUGCUAAUAAAACCUUGUAAGUUGCAUUCAUGAGCCAUUCUUUUGAUGACGCCAUCAAGAAGAAAAUGAAAUUGACAUUCGACUUUCGCCGCAACAUGGUUCUUGACUCCAUGCAAUCAAGUGAUAUAUUGACAGUCUUUCCAUGAUUCAAAGACAUUAAAUGCUUGACUUUGUUCUGAUUGUUUGGAGAAGGAGUGUCAGGCAAGCUACUGGAGAAGCGGACCACUGCAUUCAAGAGAAAAGUGAUUCAGCAGUGCAAAAAGCUUCCAAGCACCAGUGAUUUGGAAGAACAACUGCUAGCAGCUGAAUCUCCUACUGUUGGGAUAGUGAGCUCUCUUCUAUAAUACUUCUGUUGCAUCUGAUCCCGCCUUAUGCCCAAGGCCAGAAAAGACCAGGAAAGGUGUCUGUGUCUCAAGCAGAGAAGCACCUUGUUGUCUUAAGAAGAGUGGAACAAACAUUGAGGAGCAUUUUCAAGAAAUCACAGCUAUUGCUCAGCCCUAUCUACUGGCCGUGGGACCUCAGAAGAAUUCCGUUCACCAGUACUUCAUUGUUCUUGAUCAGCAUGCCAUUCCAUGCAAGUCAAUCUCUUCUCUUGGUGCCUUUGAUGAGUUGUUCAAGGCACACUUUGUUUUUGGCACCUGAUACAACAUUUACACUUUCAUUCAGACCACUGUGUACAACAUAGAUGUUGGCAAAAUGAAAGAGAGUCCUCGUGUUGCUGAGGUUAGAGCAAGGCUGCUUAGCUAGGUGCCUUAAGUUUUUCUGUCCUUAUGAAGUGUUUUGUUUGAACCAAGUUUAGUUAAUUGGUUCAAAAUUGCUUAUUAGGCACUUCGGAUUAGUUCAUGGUUUUGUUCCUGGAAAGAAACUUUGCCUUAAAUUUGUAGAGACAGGGUGUAGUUCUGUGUUUGGUACUUUUUCAGGUUUUAGAAAACAUUUGAAUACAAAACAUGGCAAGCAAAUUGACCAGAAUUUUGACACCACUAACAACUGUGAGACUGCUGAGUCAGAAGGACAAAUUAGUGAUCAAUCAUUUGAUCAGAUUGGCAGUGUUGGAGAAGUGGCCACAAUGUCUGUAUUAUUAAAGUCAAAUAAGAGCACUUUGGAUAUGUGUGCGUUUGCUGUUCCACAACUAAAAGUUGCUAGGUUAAUGUCAGUCUGCUGUAAGUGGUUUUGUUUCAUCUAUGGAGGAAGUUGUUUUUGAGAUUCAGAGUCAGACCAAUCGGUUUGCUCUGUCUAUAUCCAAAUGACAUUGCUACUAAAAGGAAAAUAGAAAGUUCAAUUGAAUAUUUGAAAAAUCUGUUUGUUAAAUUCGGAAGCCAAAUGAAAGAGACAUUUUUCAGAGAAAUGGCUAACUGUUGAACCAACUCAAAUAGUGCUCGGCACAAGAUUUGAUAGCAGGAGAAAAAACCACAAGAACAUUUGAUCAGGUUGUUGUAACAGAUAAAUUUGCUUAUAUUCCCAUAUUAAAAACACUAAAGUCAAUUUUACAAAAUCCGCAUCUUAUUGAUUUGUUUAAACUCAGGCAUGUUCCAAAGGAAGGCGUUUAUGUUGACUUAAGUGAUGCGGCAUAUUUUAAAAGUAAUCCUUUAUUUACACAGAAAAAGAUGCCUUACAAAUUCAGUUCUUUUAUGACGAUUUAGAGACCGCUUUAUGUUCAAAAAAAGCUUUACACAAAUUGGGUGCUAUAUAUUUUACAUUAAGGAAUUUCACCCCUAUGUUUAACUCUUCAUUGGAUGAUAUUCAUUUAUGUGCCCUCUUUCAUGCACAGGAUAUUAGACGGUAUGGUUUGAAUUCUAUAAUUGAGCCGCUAGUAAAUUAUCUAAAAGUGCUUAAGAAUCCAGUGUCUGUAAGUUGUGUCAGGGGUACAAUUGUUCAAGUAACAGGUGAUAACCUUGGCUUACAUGGUUUAUUAGGGUUUGUGGAGUCAUUUGGGGCAUAUUGCUGUCGUUUCUGUGUCCAUGAGAAAGAUCGCUUUCAGUUUGUGUUUUCCGAAGAUAACCCUGAGGUUGUACUAAGAACAACUGAGAUGCAUGCUCUGCACUGUAAAAGGUUACAAGAUGACUCUACACUACCUCAUUUUAAUGGCGUCAAACAGGUGUGUUUGUUAAAUACACUCAAGAAAAAAAAAAAACCUUGUCGAUGCUGAGAGAAGACGCACCUUCAUCUGAACUCGCAGGACAAUUCACAUUGUGCCUUAUUCAAAAUUUGCAUAUUUAAAUGCAUGUCUAAACUAACAACCAAACAACUCGUGAAA